rnacentral:rRNA from 1 species
UACGAAGGGGGCUAGCGUUGUUCGGAAUCACUGGGCGUAAAGCGCACGUAGGCGGAUCUUUAAGUCAGGGGUGAAAUCCCGGGGCUCAACCUCGGAACUGCCUUUGAUACAGCAAGUCUUGAGUUCGAGAGAGGUGGGUGGAAUUCCUAGUGUAGAGGUGAAAUUCGUAGAUAUUAGGAAGAACACCGGUGGCGAAGGCGGCCCACUGGCUCGACACUGACGCUGAGGCGCGACAGCGUGGGGAGCAAACAGG